GAGGUAGAUAGGAUGGAAGUGGAAGUGCCGUGAGGCAUGGAGCGGACCAUUACUAAUCGGUCGAGGACUUAACCAAG
rnacentral:rRNA from 1 species